AAAAUAGAAGCAAUAAUCUGCAAAUGAACCCAUUCAGACCGUAACAGAACUACAAAUAAGUUGCAAUGCUUUAAACCAGUGGUUCCCACACUCUGGCUCAGACUGUGGAGGCAUUGUGAGGGUCUCAGACUCCACGUGAAUGCCAACUCUGGAGUGGAACUAACUGGAUUUAAAUCUCAACCUUCCCUUUCCUACAGGUGUUCUCAUUUCCUAUGGGUGCCUCAUUUCCUCAGUUGUAAAAUGGGGGUUACCCACCUCAGAGGGGAAUUUGGGGAAUUGAAAUGAGACAGUGUAGACAUACAUAUGCAUUCAGUAUGUGUUAGCUAUUAUCACAUGCUGCAAUUUUUCGGAUGUUAUGUAUUCACGUAAAAGCAUUACUGAACUCGUGGUAUCUUUCUUUCGUGAUUUAUGAAUGAGACACAGCUUCCACCACGUGAAAGUCUUCAUAUUUACCUUGAAUCACUUGUGGUUGGCUACCUCUUCUCUUCCUCUUCUACCUUCCUCUUUCCGCGCAGCCGGACAUCCUGCAGGCCAGCAGACCCUCUCACCUCAGCAUCUGAGCCAGCUCUGCCUGAGCUAUACUAUUCAAUCAACUACAGACUCCUCCUUCCACAUUGCAUCAUUUUGGUGUUACCUUGCUCCGAGUACUGAGCACUGAGCCCUCUUGUUCUUCCCCAAUUCAUAGUAUCCAGAAUCUAAAUAGACAUGGUGGAUGCUCUCACACCAGCCCUCAAUAUGUUCCGUUCUUCAUGAGUCUCCUGUCUCAAACCCUGGCAGUUUUCUCAGUAAUUUAGAACACUUACUGUGAGUCAACAGCUUUAUGCCCAUUUGUGUCCUUCAUCUCUACACCUUUCAGCAGCCCUCCAAGGUAGGUGUUAUUACUCCCAACUAUGAGCAAACUGGGGCUCAGAGGGAUGAAACCAUUAGUUCUGGGUCACAGAGCUGGUAAGUGGUAGAGUCAGGAUUCAAACCCAAGGCUAGCCAACUCUAAGACCAAGCUCUUGCCACUUGUCCGCUCUAACUGCCUUAAGAAUAGAAGUUAGAAAUCCAGCUGGAUCUCUUCUUUGCGCUCCCCCCCCGCCAUGGAUAGGGAACUUUUUCCACCCCCACCCACAUAUCCAACUAUUGGUCUGGAUUCCCUGUUGCUCCUGCCUGGCUGAACCACUGUAGUCAGCAGCUGCCAUUGAUAUAGCUCCCCUUGUCUACAUCCCGUGUGCAUCCUCCCCUAGAAAUCAGCCCCGGGUCUUUCUCAUUCUGCUGAAAAGUAAACACGUAGUGUGCCCAGGAUAAGCUAUGACAGGAUAUUCAUAAUUCCUUAUGCCUGUGUUUAGAGAAGAAAAGCUCACACAGUGAUAAGUGUUUGGAUCUGGCAUGAACUGAAUAGAGCCUGGUGCCUGAGGACAUAAAUCAUAAGUCGCUCAUUGUAUCAUAACAUUUGUAAUUAGUACCUUCCUUCAACAAAAGAAGGAAGACAUUUGGGAUCCUGGAAUGUUUUUAUCUAAGAUGAGCUUUAUGCAUUAAACAAAAGAUUUUGUUGUGGGGCAUUUUUGAAGCUUAUCAGCUUAUGAAAAAAGUACCGUGUGACCAUACAGCCAACCAGCUUUGGAAAGUAUGAUUGUAAAACCAGACUGCCUUGAUGUGUUGUUGAAAAGGCACGUCCUUGUUGAAAAAGUAAAAAUAUACCAUUUUGAGCGCCCUUAUUCUGAAACAAAUAGCAUUCCUGAGAAAUUGUGGAUCUGUUUAUGUACUCUUAUUGGUUGUUUUGGUUUGGGGAACAUAAUCCUACUACUCCCAAGUAGGAAUUCAGUCUUUUCCUGAGGCCAGGGCAAGGCUCCACAUCUGGAUUUGUGCUCACGUACCUGGACGGAUGACAAGCUACUUCCCUGUGUCAAUUAGGUUGCCUUUAAGAUGUACCUGGGAAUUACACCAAGUGUGACCUGUAACAAUCCAAGCAGAACUGAAUUUUCCCUGAUCUUAGACAAGAAUCCUCUGGUGGAGUUUGUGGAAGAGCUCCCUGCUGGGCGAUCGUCUCUGUGCUACUGCAAUUUACUCUGUGGGAUUAUCAGAGGUGCCCUGGAAAUGGUAAAGCAUAUCUAUUUCAUUGUGUUGGGUAUAUUCCUUAUCUCGUGCUGUGUAACAGAUUACCCCCACAUACAACCGUUUAAAACAACUAAUAUUUAUUAUCUCACACAGUUUCUAAGAAUCAGAAAUCCCGGAAGAGUUUUGCUAGGUGGUUGUGGCUAACAGCCUUUCAGAGCGUAAUACACACACGAUCCGGCUGUUGGUCCCUUCAGGGCUGCAGUCCCUGAACACUUGACUGAGGCUAGCCGAUCCACCUCCAUGCUCACUCAGGUGGCCUCACUGGCUGGCUGGCAGCUGGC